AAGCUACUCCCUCCGUUCGGAAUUACUUGUCUCGGAUAUGGAUGUAUCUAGAACUAAAAUAUGUUUAGAUACAUCCAUUUCUACGACAAGUAAUUCCGAACGGAGGGAGUACGUA
rnacentral:pre_miRNA from 1 species